CUACACACACGCCGAAGGACGCCUUUUUCGUCGCAUCAGAUGCAGACAGCCACUGUCCAAACGUCUGUAUUUUACGCGUUUGGAGUGAAAACGGGUUGACGGCAGCGGGAUGUCUCUCUCUGCGA